rnacentral:rRNA from 1 species
UACGUAGGGCGCAAGCGUUGUCCGGAUUCAUUGGGCGUAAAGAGCGUGUAGGCGGCCAGGUAGGUCGGUUGUGAAAACUGGAGGCUCAACCUUCAGAGGUCGACCGAAACCAUCUGGCUAGAGUCCGGGAGAGGAGAGUGGAAUUCCUGGUGUAGCGGUGAAAUGCGCAGAUAUCAGGAGGAACACCGGUGGCGAAGGCGGGUCUCUGGGCCGUAACUGACGCUGAGGAGCGAAAGCAUGGGGAGCGAACAGG